CCUACGGGAGGCAGCAGUGGGGAAUAUUGGGCAAUGGGCGCAAGCCUGACCCAGCAACGCCGCGUGAAGGAAGAAGGCUUUCGGGUUGUAAACUUCUUUUGUCAGGGACGAAGCAAGUGACGGUACCUGACGAAUAAGCCACGGCUAACUACGUGCCAGCAGCCGCGGUAAUACGUAGGUGGCAAGCGUUAUCCGGAUUUACUGGGUGUAAAGGGCGUGUAGGCGGGACUGCAAGUCAGAUGUGAAAACCACGGGCUCAACCUGUGGCCUGCAUUUGAAACUGUAGUUCUUGAGUACUGGAGAGGCAGACGGAAUUCCUAGUGUAGCGGUGAAAUGCGUAGAUAUUAGGAGGAACACCAGUGGCGAAGGCGGUCUGCUGGACAGCAACUGACGCUGAGGCGCGAAGGCCAGGGGAGCGAAAGGGAUUAGAUACCCUUGUAGUC
rnacentral:rRNA from 1 species